AACGCGAAGAACCUUACCUGGGCUUGACAUGCACGGGAAAGCUCGUGGAAACACGGGCCCUCCUCACGGACUCGUGCACAGGUGCUGCAUGGCUGUCGUCAGCUCGUGUCGUGAGAUGUUGGGUUAAGUCCCGCAACGAGCGCAACCCUCGCUCCCAGUUGCCAGCGGUUCGGCCGGGGACUCUGGGGGGACUGCCGGUGAUAAACCGGAGGAAGGUGGGGAUGACGUCAAGUCCUCAUGGCCCUUAUGGGUAGGGCUUCACACGUAAUACAAUGGUCGGUACAGAGGGUCGCCAACCCGCGAGGGGGAGCCAAUCUCAGAAAGCCGAUCGUAGUCCGGAUUGUUCUCUGCAACUCGAGAGCAUGAAGUCGGAAUCGCUAGUAAUCGCGGAUCAGCAUGUCGCGGUGAAUACGUUCCCGGGUCUUGUACACACGC
rnacentral:rRNA from 1 species